UACUGAACAUCAGAACUGAUGUGCUUGUUAUGCAUUGGACACGCAGAUCUUUGUGCAUACACCAAAUCAAGGUCACACAAACACACUGUACACACACGUGAGCUCACAGUUUUAAUAAUAGUAACACCCUUCCUGAACACCAGGUAGCAGUCUAGACAUUGUCCUGCCAUGUGCCUAUGAGUGUGUACUGAUGGAAACCGUUGGGAGGACCCUGAAUAACAGACUGCCCAGAUCUUUACAACAAAGGAGAAUAUCAGAUUCCUCCCACCCCUUGAGGUCAUGUGAUUGUUGCCAUGAUUCCUGUUGUGACCUGAGAGCAUAGCGUUGCAACACUACUUUUGACUGGAGACAACGAAGUGAUCAUUGUCAGCCGAAAAUAUGUUGAUAAUGUCGUACUACGCAUUUAAAGACCAACUGCAGUCUAACCCCAAACUUGUGUAACAUCCUUUUAAAAUAAAUUUAAUUUUGCUGAAUGAUUGAAGGGCUAGAAAACAAAAGUUUUAAUGAAAUAAUCACCGAUUAACAACAUGGAAAUUAAUGACAGAUUGACAAAGUCAAGUUAAUUUUACAACCUUGACUUUAGUUCCGUGCAAGAAGCAGCAUCUAGCGACCGUUACGUGUCAGUAAUAACAUCCCUGUCUGUUGACUCAUGGGCCAAUUUUACCCCUUAUGGCGCAUUAGUAGGGAAAAAUGGCUUGACGCUUCUAGUGUUAGAAAACAAGACACCAUUCUCUUAAACUUCCCUAAUAGAUGAAAGAGAUGGAGGGGGGGG